UACGGAGGAUCCGAGCGUUAUCCGGAUUUAUUGGGUUUAAAGGGUGCGUAGGCGGCUUAUUAAGUCAGUGGUGAAAGACGGCAGCUCAACUGUCGCAGUGCCUUUGAUACUGAUGAGCUUGAAUGUUGUUGAAGAUGGCGGAAUGAGACAAGUAGCGGUGAAAUGCAUAGAUAUGUCUCAGAACUCCGAUUGCGAAGGCAGCUAUCUAAGCAAUGAUUGACGCUGAUGCACGAAAGCGUGGGGAGCAAACAGG
rnacentral:rRNA from 1 species